rnacentral:rRNA from 1 species
GACGAACCGUGCGAACGUUGUUCGGAAUCACUGGGCUUAAAGGGCGCGUAGGCGGGCUGACAAGUCUGGGGUGAAAUCCCGCGGCUCAACCGAGGAACUGCAUCCGAUACUGGCGGGCUUGAAUCCGGGAGAGGGAUGUGGAAUUCCAGGUGUAGCGGUGAAAUGCGUAGAUAUCUGGAGGAACACCGGUGGCGAAGGCGGCAUCCUGGACCGGUAUUGACGCUGAGGCGCGAAAGCUAGGGGAGCAAACGGG